rnacentral:lncRNA from 10 species
CUCCCCUCCCCUUCCCUUCCCUUCCUUGUGUUACAGUCGGGUCUUUGUUCUUAGAGCUCCCGAGAUGGUGGCGGCCGGCUCCCAAGGUGGCAGCAAGACUUUUGUUCUCUGACCUGGGGUUCUUGGCCUCCUGGAUUCCAAAGAAUGGAACCUUGGGGCCAUGCGAUUACUGGUGUGAUUACUGUCUCCUGACUGGACCCUGACUGCUAUAGAAUUGAUAAAUAUGCUGAGGCAUGUUUUCAAGGAGGGGAGAGAGAUUCCUUUUCCUCAGCCGGGCACAGAGCCAACCUGAAGUGUAGCACUGUGGUGACCUGGCGGGAUCUGCUCUCCAGUCACUCCCGAGGGCCCUUCUGGGGACAAGGAGACUUUUCUGUGCGGCCUGUUGAUUUGAGAUCGAGGCUAUCAAGCUACAGAUGAUCUUACAAAUGGAACCCCAAAUGAGCUCAACUAACAACUACCAAGGACCCCUGGACCAACCCGCUGGCCCUUUCAAUGGCCUAAAGAGUUCCCCUCUGGAGGACACUACAACUGCAGGGUCCUUUCUUUGCCCCUAUCCAGCAGGAAGUAGCUAGAGUGGUCAUCACCCAAUUCCCAACAGCAGUUGGGGUGUCUUGUUAAGUGGGGAGAUUGAGAGGUGAAGCCAGCUGGGCUUCUGGGUUGGGUGGGGACUUGGAGAACUUUUCUGUCUAGCUAGAGGAUUGUAAACACACCAAUCAGUGCUAUGUGUCUAGCUAGAGGUUUGUAAAUGCACCAAUCAGCACUCUGUAAAAACGGACCAAUCAGCACUCUGUAAAAUGGACCAAUCAGUAGGAUGCGGGCAGGGCCAAAUAAGGGAAUAAAAGCUGGCCACCUGAGUCAGCAGUGGCAACCCACUCGGGUCCCCUUCCAUGCUGUGGAAGCUUUGUUCUUUCACUCUUCACAAUAAAUCUUGCUGCUGCUCACUCUUUGGGUCCACACCACCUUUAUGAGCUGCAACACUCACUGCGAAGGUCUUCAGCUUCACUCCUGAAGUCAGCGAGACCACGAACCCAUGGGGAGGAACAAUCGACUUCAGACAUGCCACCUUUAAGAGCUGUAACACUCACUGCGAAGGUCUGUGGCUUCACUCCUGAAGUCAGCAAGACCACGAACCCACUGGAAGGAAGAAAUUUCGGACACAUCUGAACAUCUGAAUGAACAAACUCUGGACACGCCAUCUUUAAGAACUGUAACACUCACUGUGAGGGUUCAUGGGUUCAUUCUUGAAGUCAGCAAGACCAAGAACCCACCAGAAGGAACCAAUUCCGGACACAGACUCACUGCAACCUCCACCUCCUGGAUUCAAGUGAUUCUCCUGCCUCAGCCUCCGGAGUAGCUGUGCCUACAGGCACAAGCCACCACACACGGCUAAUUUUUUGUAUUUUUAGUAGAGAUGGGGUUUCACCAUGUUGCUCAGGCUGGUCUCCAACUCCUGAGCUCAAGUGAUCCACCUGUCUCGGCCUCCCAAAGUGUUGGGAUACAUGUGUGAGCCACUGUGCCCGGCCUCCUCUGGAUUAGUUCUUACAGGAAUAGAUUAGUUCUUGCUCGAGCAAGUUGUUAUAAAAGUGAGGUUGCCUCUAGUGUUUUGCAUCCUCACAUAUGUCUGCUUACCUCUUGACCUCUCUCUGUGUUAUGACCCAGCACAAAAGCCCUUACCAGAAGCCAAGCAGAUGCUGAUGCCACACCCCUUGGACUUCUCAGUCUACAGAGCCAUGAAACGAAUAAACCUCUCUUUAUAAAUUAUCCAGCUUCAGGUAUUCUGUUAUAGCAACACAAAAUGGAC